rnacentral:rRNA from 1 species
CAGUUUGGGCACUCUAGCGAGACUGCGGUAAUAAACCGGAGGAAGGUGGGGAUGACGUCAAAUCAUCAUGCCCCUUAUGACCUGGGCUACACACGUGCUACAAUGGUUGGUACAACGAGUUGCGAGUCGGUGACGGCGAGCUAAUCUCUUAAAGCCAAUCUCAGUUCGGAUUGUAGGCUGCAACUCGCCUACAUGAAGUCGGAAUCGCUAGUAAUCGCGGAUCAGCACGCCGCGGUGAAUACGUUCCCGGGGAUU